rnacentral:rRNA from 1 species
AUUGAACGCUGGCGGCAGGCCUAACACAUGCAAGUCGAGCGGAUGAAGGGAGCUUGCUCCUGGAUUCAGCGGCGGACGGGUGAGUAAUGCCUAGGAAUCUGCCUGGUAGUGGGGGAUAACGUCCGGAAACGGGCGCUAAUACCGCAUACGUCCUGAGGGAGAAAGUGGGGGAUCUUCGGACCUCACGCUAUCAGAUGAGCCUAGGUCGGAUUAGCUAGUUGGUGGGGUAAAGGCCUAACAAGGCGACGAUCCGUAACUGGUCUGAGAGGAUGAUCAGUCACACUGGAACUGAGACACGGUCCAGACUCCUACGGGAGGCAGCAGUGGGGAAUAUUGGACAAUGGGCGAAAGCCUGAUCCAGCCAUGCCGCGUGUGUGAAGAAGGUCUUCGGAUUGUAAAGCACUUUAAGUUGGGAGGAAGGGCAGUCAGUUAAUACCUUGCUGUUUUGACGUUACCAACAGAAUAAGCACCGGCUAACUUCGUG